CCUUACCAGGUCUUGACAUCCCGAUGCUAUUUCUAGAGAUAGAAAGUUACUUCGGUACAUCGGUGACAGGUGGUGCAUGGUUGUCGUCAGCUCGUGUCGUGAGAUGUUGGGUUAAGUCCCGCAACGAGCGCAACCCCUAUUGUUAGUUGCCAUCAUUCAGUUGGGCACUCUAGCGAGACUGCCGGUAAUAAACCGGAGGAAGUGGGGAUGACGUCAAAUCAUCAUGCCCCUUAUGACCUGGGCUACACACGUGCUACAAUGGUUGGUACAACGAGUUGCGAGUCGGUGACGGCGAGCUAAUCUCUUAAAGCCAAUCUCAGUUCGGAUUGUAGGCUGCAACUCGCCUACAUGAAGUCGGAAUCGCUAGUAAUCGCGGAUCAGCACGCCGCGGUGAAUACGUUCCCGGGCCUU
rnacentral:rRNA from 1 species